CGUGAGUCCAGAGAGAAUGGUGUAGGCUUAGUAAUGAAAGUGUCCUGACAGCUAACACUCAAAAAUCUAUAUCCCAAUUAUCUGCUGUGCGAACCUCCCCCGAGGGCUGGCCAUGUAUCACCUGGGAGUCACCUGCUCGAAUGCUGGUUGCAGCUCUUCCCCAUCUUCCUGAUCCCGUAUUUUAUAUUCCGUGGAGGGCUCUCUCCCCCUGACUUAUGUGCACAUCUUUGCCUCACAGCUGCUCUGCUCUCAUCAACGUGCCUC